rnacentral:rRNA from 1 species
GACGAACGCUGGCGGCGUGCUUAACACAUGCAAGUCGAGCGGAAAGGCCCUUCGGGGUACUCGAGCGGCGAACGGGUGAGUAACACGUGAGUAAUCUGCCCUUGGCUUUGGGAUAAACCCCGGAAACGGGGUCUAAUACCGGAUACGACCAAUCACUGCAUGGUGUGUUGGUGGAAAGUUUUUUCGGCCAGGGAUGUGCUCGCGGCCUAUCAGCUUGUUGGUGGGGUAAUGGCCUACCAAGGCUUCGACGGGUAGCCGGCCUGAGAGGGUGACCGGCCACACUGGGACUGAGACACGGCCCAGACUCCUACGGGAGGCAGCAGUGGGGGAUAUUGGACAAUGGGCGGAAGCCUGAUCCAGCAACGCCGCGUGAGGGAUGACGGCCUUCGGGUUGUAAACCUCUUUCAGCACCGACGAAGCGCAAGUGACGGUAGGUGCAGAAGAAGGACCGGCCAACUACGUGCCAGCCGCCGCGGUAAAAC